AACGCCCGGUCCCAUUCCGAACCCGGAAGCUAAGCCCUCCAGCGCCGAUGGUACUGCACCCGACAGGGUGUGGGAGAGUAGGACACCGCCGAAC
rnacentral:rRNA from 2 species